rnacentral:rRNA from 1 species
GAUGAACGCUAGCGGCAGGCCUAACACAUGCAAGUCGAGGGAGAAGCCCUUUCGGGGGCAGAAACCGGCGCACGGGUGCGUAACGCGUAUGCAACCUACCUUUCACAGGGGGAUAGCCCGAAGAAAUUUGGAUUAAUACCCCAUAAUAUUAUUGGAUGGCAUCAUUUGAUAAUUAAAACUGCGGUGGUGAAAGAUGGGCAUGCGUCCUAUUAGCUAGUUGGAGUGGUAACGGCACCCCAAGGCUACGAUAGGUAGGGGUCCUGAGAGGGAGAUCCCCCACACUGGUACUGAGACAGGGACCAGACUCCUACGGGAGGCAGCAGUGAGGAAUAUUGGUCAAUGGUCGGAAGACUGAACCAGCCAUGCCGCGUGCAGGAAGAAUGCCUUAUGGGUUGUAAACUGCUUUUAUAUGGGAAGAAUAAGGCGUACGUGUACGUUGAUGACGGGACCAUAUGAAUAAGCAUCGGCUAACUCCGU